ACUGCUGCUAAUCUAUCGCUGCUGCUAAGCUAUCCCUCGCUGCUAAGCUAUCCCUCACUGCUAAGCUAUCCCUCACUGCUAAGCUAUCGCUGCCAACCUAUCUAUUGCUGCAAGCUAUCCCUCGCUGCUAAGCUAUCGCUGCCAACCUAUCUAUUGCUGCAAGCUAUCCCUCGCUGCUAAGCUAUCGCUGCCAACCUAUCUAUCGCUGCCAACCUAUCUAUCGCUGCCAACCUAUCUAUCGCUGCCAAUUUAUCUACCACUGCCAAUCUAUCUAUCGCUGCUAAUCUAUCGCUGCUGUCAAUCUAUCUAUCGCUGCUAAUCUAUCUAUCGCUGCUAAUCUAUCGCCGCUGCCAAUCUAUCCCUCACUGCUAAGCUAUCCCUCGCUGCUAAGCUAUCACAGCCAAUCUAUCGCUGCUAAUCUAUCGCUGCCAACCUAUCUACCGCGGCGAAUCUAUCUAUCGCUGCCAAUUUAUCUAUCGCUGCUAAUCUAUCGCUGCUAAUCUAUCGCUGCCAAUCUAUCGCUGCUAAUCUAUCGCUGCUAAUCUAUCGCUGCCAACCUAUCAACCGCGGCGAAUCUAUCUAUCACUAUCAUUACUAGUUCAAAAUAGAACUAGAGCAUAAAUACACUAAACUUCUUUUGAUAGGUAAUGAUUUUUGGUAACGCUCAUAGCAUUAUAUCAUCUAUAUAGGGUAAAUCAUGGUCCCAUUUGGUCCCAUUUGAACAAAAUGGGACCAAAUGGGACCAGAAUCAGUAAUUUAUAAGAAGAACAUGACCUGGGACUAGAUUUAUAAUAUAAACAGUGUAAAGUGACUAAUUUAAUAAACACUAUAUGGGACC
rnacentral:sRNA from 1 species